GGCGAUCAGAUACCGCCCUAGUUCUGACCGUAAACGAUGCCAACUAGCGAUCCGCCAGUCGACUCAUCGCUCUGGUGGGGAGCUUCCCGGAAACGAAAGUCUUCCGGUUCCGGGGGAAGUAUGGUUGCAAAGCUGAAACUUAAAGGAAUUGACGGAAGGGCACCACCAGGAGUGGAGCCUGCGGCUUAAUUUGACUCAACACGGGGAAACUCACCCGGCCCGGACACCGUAAGGAUUGACAGAUUGAUAGCUUUUUCAUGAUUCGGUGGAUGGUGGUGCAUGGCCGUUCUUAGUUCGUGGAGCGAUUUGUCUGGUUUAUUCCGAUAACGAGCGAGACUCUGGCCUACUAAAUAGUUGGCACAUUGCCACUGUGUGCCCAACUUCUUAGAGGGAUUUUCGGUGUUCAGCCGCACGAAAUUGAGCAAUAACAGGUCUGUGAUGCCCUUAGAUGUCCGGGGCUGCACGCGCGCUACACUGGCAAAAUCAGCGUGCUUGUCCUCCCCCGAAAGGGGUUGGUAAACCGAUGAAAAUUUGCCGUGAUUGGGAUCGGACAUUGCAAUUAUUGUCCGUGAACGAGGAAUCCCUUGUAAGGGCGAGUCAUCAACUCGUCCUGAAUACG
rnacentral:rRNA from 1 species